AAGACUAUAGACCUGCGGAGUACCUGCGGAAGGAUCAUUACUGAGUUUCACAACUCUCUAACCCUGUGUGAACUGAAGUCUGGUUGCUCAGGCAGGCGGCCCCCGGGGGGAGCCGCAGCUUCUCUGAAGCGCCUGCCGGAGGAUACCUAAACUCGUUUUAACAUAUAAUCUUCUGAGUAAUAAAAAAAAAUGAAUCAAAACUUUUAACAAUGGAUCUCU
rnacentral:misc_RNA from 1 species